CCUCUAGCACAUCUUGCAUCCGCGACUUAGACCGCGACUCGAGUCGACAUUCCCGCGGCUGUCAAAUCUGUCGAUUUCCGUAGCACAACUUGUACCCGCGACUGCAACAGCCGCGUAGAGAACUCAAAGUCGCGGCGCGACUCAUCAGUGUUCCCCGAUAGAAUCAAAGUCUAAACAUAAAUGCUAUUUACAUGUGACAACACUGAAUCGGAAACAGGGUUGCGCUAUUUCAUUCGUUCUUUGGUGGUAAAAAAUCUAGUUUAUUGUCGAUGGUUAAGUUUUUCCUGUCAAAGUCAAGGAACUUUCAAAUUUUGUCAACAUUUAAUUACGAUGCUGUUUAAUGUAUAAUUUAGAUAGCAUAUUAUGCAGUGAAUGGCAAGUUGACGGGUGCAGUCUUUAAUGAAGAAUUCUUCUGGAAAUGCGAGUACCAAUUCUUGGACAUCAUUCGGCAGUUCGUGGUCUCGGCCGCCAUUACGCUUUGUACUGCUGCUCCGGCUAUCCUCCAGUGCAUCGUGAAGGCCUAUCACCGUACAUCAUGCGUUAAUACUUUGUAUUGUGAAAUAUUUUACUUGUAAUCUACAUUUACUGUAUUUUGGCAAGGGCCCAUGAGGCUGCCACUUCUCCAAUAAAUAAUAAUAAUAAUUACGAGAAAAAAUAUGAAAAAAAUAAUAAGUCCAGCAUUAUCCUAGACACGAUUGAUAUCCCAGCACCCAAAGGAAAAUAUUGUUAACAGGAAUGUGCCAACGGGACCUGAAGUGGAGAGUCAGGAAAAGAAACACACUAGGCAAGCUUGUACGUUUCAAACACGGAGCUGUCCGUUUCUAAAGUCACUAAGAUGUGAGAAGCGCUUUAGCUUUAAGAACACCACCGAGGAAGUGAACUAUUAUAAUAACCAUAAUGGUUAUGGCGUACCUAUCUAUAAUUCAUUUUUUUUUAGCAUUAGAAAUAAGGUAAACAAUCUUGAUGUGUCUUUUAAUUGAAAAACACAUUUUAAAAAUAAGUUACAGCAAAUAUGUAACAAUUAUGAAUCUAAUACGAUCAUUUAUAUUUUUCUGCUUUCAUAAGCAAAUAUUGUGCCAAUAAUGGAUGGCAUGUGUGUGUACUGUGUAGUGUGUAACUGUUUAUGAUUUGACAAAUUGAUUUGAAAAGCUUAUUUCAUAGUCCUCGAUGAAGUCACGACCAUAUUUUAUUUUUUUGUUUACAAACCAAUUUUCUUUCCGGGUGAUAUUUAAUUGUCCUAUGCCGCAUGUCGAAUAAAAAGGAAGACAGAAAAUACUUUUCAAGGGUAAUAAAGAAGAUUCUUACAAUUUCUCUAUUGUGGUUCUAGAUGUUAAUAAUAUAUUAGGUUUAAUAAUAAGAAGUCGAAUAUUGCAAGAAUAUAUAAGGCAAAGCAAUAUACUAUUAAUUUAAAUA